UAUUUUUGGGAGCUGAACGUCAAUCAAUCCACCACGUCCAUUCCGCUCUCGACCCGCACCGCCCCGCUCCGUGCCCAGGGCCGCGCCGUCUCUCCGUCCCCGGCGUCGUGCCGACGAUGCCUCCUCCCUGACGACGCCGCCUCCCCCCGAUGCCCUCCGCCCCAACUCGCGGCCCUCGACCCCAACGCGCGGUGCCGCUCUGCCCUGCAGGAGGCCAGCGAACGGCGGCCCCGUAGGCGCUCCAUGGCGGGUCCGCGCGCCGCACAGGGGCUACACAGCGGGCGGCGGCGGGCCGGUGCCGCCGGCGCGCUGCUCCGCCUCCGCGAGGCGCGGGUGGACGGACCUCCAGUUCUUCGCCAGACUGAAGGUGAAGAUGAGAGCCCAAUGCUCAAGCCUAAAGGUCACCCUUCUCUGGCUUUCAUCUAUCUAGGCUUGUCAUCAACCAGCUGAAAUUCUAACACAAUAAGCACAAAAGAAGUCUGUUGGGAGCAUCAGCGCAGGGAGGGGACGAGAUUAAUUACCUGAUGAACUUCUUGACUGUGACACAAUCUUGUAUCAACUGGUGCCAUGCUGGGCUUUCAUUUAUGGGUUGUGCGAACAGUUAUUUGAAAUCUCUUUUUUUGGAUGUGUCAUAAUCAAUAAUGAAAUGAUCAGGUUCAGCAUCAAGGAGCCGAACAUGAUGAUGGUUGAUUUGCAGAACUGGCUAGAGAGGAGCAUUCAAGUUAUAGUCGAUACUGACGGUGAACAGAUUUUGGGGCUUGGAGUUCUUGAUGUCAUGUAGCAUCUUCUUCUAAAUAUUGUUCAUUGAUGAGUUCAUCCAUCAGCUAUAAGCAGUCCAUAUCCAUCGACUUCUUGAGCUGUUCGUCGAUCCGCCAACUAGCUGCUGAUUCACACGUUGUGUCCCCUUCAGGUAUUACAGUUGCUUCAUCGAUUCAUCGAUUUUGACUCAAAAAGUGGAGGGUACAUCUGAAACAUUUGCAAAAGAAGCUUUGAUUUGUACUGCAAGGAUCGACGAAGCAACAGUCGGCAAUAUAAAUUUGUCCACAUCAGGUGUUACUGUUCCUUCAUCGGUCUUGACUUGGCAAGUGGAUGGUACCGAUACUGGGAAAUCUUUGAUUAACGAUCCUAAUUACCAGACCAUUUUUAUCACACUGACUAUGAAUUAUGCGAUGAAAAGUCAAUAUUCCAUAGUCGAUGAAGGUAAUUACAUGUAGUAUUUGCAAUAUGUUCUCCUCAUGUCGACCAAAUUCAUUGAAUCUUUGAAUUUAACAUAUUUUGUAUUUUUUUAUACGCGGAUAAUGGUAAUGAGAAGGAGAUUAAGAGGUUUAGGGAUAGGUUGCAUUAUGCAAAUAUAUCCGAUAUUGCUAAGAAGGAAAUGAUCAACAAGAAGAAUAUGAAUCGUAGUGUCUGGAAAGGAAGUGUCAUCAAGUCACUUAAAAGUAAGAUAUUUUAUCAAGUUGGGUUGCUAGCAUCCGGACAAUCAAUAGUUACGAAAGAUUGCAGUGGUCCGGUUACAAGGAGUGCAGUAAAAGCUGACUCCGUUAUCUGGGAGCAUGAUGACACGGACGAUGUGCAAGAGGGUUAUUAUUUAUUCAUCAAAUUUUUAUAAAAACAUGUUUUAUAAAAAUAGUAAACAUUUCAUCUGCAGUGUUUCUGCAGUGCUAACCGCUGCUUGCGUAGCUUUUUUUUUUGUUACUGUAUGGGCGUGCUCACAUGCAUUUUGUGAAAUUCCCUUUUGAUCAAUGAUUGUACCGGGAAAACAGAUUCUCUGUGACUAAUUGAAAAAUGUGAGGUGCGAUGAGCACAGAUGAGGUCAGCGAAGGACUGGGAUUGCAUGAUCUCAGGAACAGAACAUGGCACAUACAGGGGACCUGUGCACUCCGUUUUGAGGGCCUAUGUGAUGGCCUUGACUGGCUUGCAUCCACCCUGAAGUAGCUGCAAGAAUCAGGCCAUGCAACUUCAGUUGCUGGCCCUUCCAUCUAAUUCAACAAAAGGUUCUAUAACAUUCUGAGUUCUUUUUUAUCUUUGGUAACUAAGAGAUGAACAUUGGCCAUUUUCUUUGCUGUCACCUGGCAACAACUUAUUGCAAGUCCAAGUGAACUCGGUGCCUCAACCAAUUGACACCUCAUGCCGCGGCGGCCUGUUGAUCUGCUAAAAGCCCACAGGAGCUCCAGGAUAUGGUGUGGCUGCCAUGUGCCCACAGAUGGAAUUCGUUUGCUGCAUAUGAGCCAAUCCACGCUGCGUACCGAAAAAACUUGGAACAAAAACCUUGUUGUAUUUCAGUUCACUCAGCGUAGAAUACUCAUGUCGUCUUUCCUUAUACUGUUGGAUUUCUUUGUAAGUUUCAAGAUUGUUGCCAAAACAACUUAAAUUAAAUGGCCUAAGUCCCUGUGUGGCAGAGCUCGAGCUGUCGAGGUUAAUUGGAUAUUUUACUUGGUAAUAUGGUUUCAAGUUACAAGUGUA